rnacentral:rRNA from 1 species
GGACCCGCACAAGUAGUGGAGCAUGUGGUUUAAUUCGAAGAUACGCGCAGAACCUUACCAACACUUGACAUGUUCGUCGCGACUCUAAGAGAUUAGAGUUUUCGGUUCGGCCGGACGAAACACAGGUGCUGCAUGGCUGUCGUCAGCUCGUGUCGUGAGAUGUUGGGUUAAGUCCCGCAACGAGCGCAACCCUCACUUUUUAGUUGCCAUCAUUAAGUUGGGCACUCUGAAAGAACUGCCAGUGAUAAGCUGGAGGAAGGUGGGGAUGACGUCAAGUCCUCAUGGCCCUUACGUGUUGGGCUACACACGUGCUACAAUGGUAGUGACAAUGAGAUGCUAAACAGCGAUGUUAAG